AUAUCAAUAAGCGGAGGAAAAGAAACCAACAGGGAUUGCCUCAGUAACGGCGAGUGAAGCGGCAACAGCUCAAAUUUGAAAUCUGGCUCUUUCUAGGGGUCCGAGUUGUAAUUUGUAGAAGGAUGCUUCGGGUGUCGGCUCCGGUCUAAGUUCCUUGGAACAGGACGUCAUAGAGGGUGAGAAUCCCGUAUGUGACUCGGCUGCCUUCGCCAUGUGAAGCUCUUUCGACGAGUCGAGUUGUUUGGGAAUGCAGCUCUAAAAUGGGUGGUAAAUUUCAUCUAAAGCUAAAUACUGGCCAGAGACCGAUAGCGCACAAGUAGAGUGAUCGAAAGAUGAAAAGCACUUUGGAAAGAGAGUUCAAAACAGUAC
rnacentral:rRNA from 1 species